GGAUUCAGGAGCAUAUCUUGAGCGUAAGGUUGCAGGAUUACAUAUGGUGAGGAUUCAACACAAGGAUUUCACUAACUAUAAAUGGGGAUAUCAGGUACUUUACUUCUACCCAUGCAAUUAUAAUUCUGCUCUCUACAGCAGGAUAUAUCCUUGCUUAUUUUGAUGUGCUCAUUUUCUUUAUAUUAGCACUCUAUGACUUAUUCAGACAUAUAUGCCUGAAGUGAAGGUUAUCAUAUACCUUUCUUCUACAUUUUACACAUGGACUCCAUAAUUAGUGAGAUUGUUCUGAUCCUUCUAAAAUAUUUGAUUGAUGAAGGUUGGGUUGUUAGGAGAGAAGUUACAAAUUUACACAGAUGAUGCAACAAAUAAAGUUCAAUGGAAUAAGUUUGGAAGCUCUACUUAUCAACCACUCAUAUGGUAUAAGGUAUGAAAAAUUCAUUUGCUAAUUCUUAUUUCAAUUUGAUUAUGCACAUGUUGUCACAAAGUGAGAGAAAGUCAAAAUUACAUAAUCAACAUAUCAUUCACUUUGAGCACAAAAUGAAGAAUAAAAUGGAUCAUAUCAAUUUUUUUUUUCAUAAAUUUUCAGAUAUUAUAACCAAAACAACACAGCACAAUUAUUUCUUGGUAUAUUUACUACAAUUAAAACAUCCACCUAACUUUUUCUCUCAUUUGUAAUUGCCAGACUCUGUUUGAUGCACCAUCAGGGAAUGACCCAGUUGCACUGAACCUUAGUUCCAUGGGAAAGGGUGAAGUUUGGGUUAAUGGCCAGAGCAUUGGCCGAUAUUGGGUCUCAUUUCACACACCCAAAGGAAAACCUUCCCAAACAAGGUAUUUUGACUUGGGUAUUAUCAAUUUAUCACGCAAACAUUUUAUAAGGUCACGCCAUAACAUUUUUUUUUCAAAUGCAAUGAAACUCAAAUUUUUUUUAACAAAACUAGUGAUUUGUGUUUUGUUACUCAAAUGCCUUUCAUCUUUUACAUAUGGCUGAACUAUUAUUCUAGGUACCAUAUACCUCGAUCUUUCUUGAGACCAACAGGCAACUUAUUAGUUCUACUAGAAGAAGAGAAAGGGUAUCCCCCUAGGAUUACUCUAGACACUAUUUCAAUCAGAAACAUCUGUGGACAUGUAUCUGAAUCACAUUCCUCAGCAGUUCAGCUCAUUUGUCCUCCAAAAAGGAAUAUUUCCAGGAUCCUAUUUGCAAGCUUUGGAACUCCUGUGGGUAGUUGUGGAAGUUAUGCCAUUGGAAACUGUCACUCAUCCACUUCUAGAGCCAUUGUAGAAAAGGUGAGCUUCAUUUCCUAUAAUUUAAAUUCAAUUUUUGAAUUUCAGUACUUAAUGCUUAGCAUUGUAGACAAGGGGAUUAGACGAGACCAGGAAAUAAAGGAAUUUCAACCGUGGAGUUAAGGGUGCAUUACUUUUAAGGAAAAAUGAAUUCCAUUUUCCAUCACCAUUUUUACAUUUGUUACUGUGACCUAGGGGCCACAUGUAAAAACCAUGAAUAAAACCUCUUGCAAUUAAAGGGAUAGGUAAGGAAGUCUUGUGCAGAACACACUUUUUGCAUGCAAAAGGUAGAAAAUGAGUUUAAUUAAUCAAACCGAGAACAUUUUCUUAGAGCUUAAAUCUAGGAAAAAUUAAAAUACUAGUUCUCAAAGUCUGAUUUAAAUUGAGAUAAUGGAAAACCUGGCUAAUAAAAAUGAAAUAACCUCCUCCAGAACAGCUAAACAGAUUAUAGCAGUUUCCUAUUUUCUUGGAAAAUUUUCUUAAAACUGGAAAAAAAUCUCCUCUAGGAAAAUGAGCCUAAAAAGUUUCAUAUAUUUAAUUUCUUCUUUUCCAAAUGAUAUAUUAUAAAGUAGAACCUUGUUCCAUUUAUUUGAUUUUUUUUAAAAUUUUUUUAGAUAAACUCCAUGAAUUUGAUGUUGAUGUAAAUAAAGAACACAAUGCAUCAUUUCUUGAUAUAACUUUAUGUAGAAUUUAUUGGAAUAUAAUUUUGCAGGUAUGUAUUGGGAAGAGGAAGUGUUCAAUCUUCCAAUCAAAUCAAUUUUUUGAUGGUGACCCGUGUCCAGGCAUCCCUAAAGCUCUGCUAGUUGAGGCCAAAUGCACAUGACAGAUAGGAGUUCUUUAUUAAGGUAGUCAACAAAUUUUAAAUUCAACUUUUUAAAAUUUAAAUGUAGAUGGACAAUGAAUCAUUUAGGGAUGUCAUCAUUAAUCUAGAUACUUAAGUCCUAUUCUCAAACUCUUCGUUUAUUUUCUUCUCUAGUGUAUAUCUUUUUUCAGUUCUAUUAAUUUCUUUCACUUAUCAGGGCAGAAAGAGGAAAAACUAAAAGAAACAAAAGUCUCAUAUUAUUUAAUUGGAUUUUAUAAAUAUAUGCAAUCAUUCACUCACAAAAUUUUUAUUUUUGCAUAUAGAGAUCAAUGACCUUCUUUCUUCAUUGAUAAAACUUGAUGUGAAUUAUAUGAAUCAAGAUAAAGGUUCUGCAUGAUGAAUUGAAAGGGCUUUCAAAAAUAAAUAACAUGAGAAAAAGGUGUAACAAAUGCUCUAAAAUGCUAAGGUCUAAAAAGUAAAUAAAUGCUCCAUAUUAGUGACCUACUCCUCUAUAGGCAGUAAGUUUUCUUGCAUUUGUGCUUCUUUACAAUUAGAAAGUGAGGAACAAAACAACAAUGUAAAAAGUAUUUAAUUUCCAAGAGCAGAAAGAUAUCAUUAUAGUCUCAAGGACCAGGAUUUUAAAUCAGCCAUGCAGUGUACUAAAAAGAGAGGAGUUUU
rnacentral:misc_RNA from 1 species